rnacentral:rRNA from 1 species
UACGAAGGGGGCUAGCGUUGCUCGGAUUGACUGGGCGUAAAGGGCGCGUAGGCGGUUCGUACAGUCAGACGUGAAAUUCCUGGGCUCAACCUGGGGGCUGCGUUUGAUACGUGCGGACUUGAGUGCGGAAGAGGGUCGUGGAAUUCCCAGUGUAGAGGUGAAAUUCGUAGAUAUUGGGAGGAACACCGGUGGCGAAGGCGGCGACCUGGUCCGAUACUGACGCUGAGGCGCGAAAGCUAGGGGAGCAAACAGG